AUACGGAGGAUGCGAGCGUUAUCCGGAUUUAUUGGGUUUAAAGGGAGCGUAGGUGGGGUAUUAAGUCAGCUGUGAAAGUUUGGGGCUCAACCUUAAAAUUGCAGUUGAUACUGGUUUCCUUGAGUACGGUACAGGUGGGCGGAAUUCGUGGUGUAGCGGUGAAAUGCUUAGAUAUCACGAAGAACUCCGAUCGCGAAGGCAGCUCACCGGGCCGGAACUGACACUGAUGCUCGAAAGUGCGGGUAUCAAACAGGAUUAGAUACCCUGGUAGUCCGCACAGUAAACGAUGAAUACUCGCUGUUUGCGAUACACUGUAAGCGGCCAAGCGAAAGCGUUAAGUAUUCCACCUGGGGAGUACGCCGGCAACGGUGAAACUCAAAGGAAUUGACGGGG
rnacentral:rRNA from 1 species